GAGCAAAGAUGGCGUCCUGGACCGGCUCUCUACCUGGGAGCCACGCCCUCGCCUAACGUCCAAUCACCGAGAGGAAGGGCAGGGCGCCGGCGGCCCCUGCACGGACCUUGGAGGCCGAGGGGGCGCUGUUGGGAGAUUUAGCGCGUACUUCCCUCAAGCCGUUUUGAAGGCGUGACCCCUGCUUCUGCGUGCGGGAAGGGGUGGAUGUGAGGGGCAGGGCGGGCACCUGCAGGAGUCACUAAGGAUGGCGAUGUCAGUUGCCAGACAAAAUGUUUGGAGUCCGAAAGAGAAAAAUCUCAAGCUUGCAAACGAAGUGAACCAAAAGUUUCCCAGAACCUUGACUUCGUUGUUCGUUUAAACUUCAUGAGAUGCGAACCAACCCUGAUUACGCCCAAGUUGGCAUACUAGCAGGACUACUUCGCCUGGUGAGCAGGUAGAAGGCCAGAUUCUUGCUGAGAGUUUGAUGAGAGGAUGAGUGUGGGGAGCCGCCCACAUCAAAAUGGCUGCCAUGACCUUCACUGCUUAAAAAUGGCCGG